rnacentral:rRNA from 1 species
CCUACGGGUGACAGCAGUGAGGAAUAUUGGUCAAUGGGCGCGAGCCUGAACCAGCCAAGUAGCGUGAAGGAUGACUGCCCUACGGGUUGUAAACUUCUUUUAUCAAGGAAUAAAACGAGGCACGUGUGCCUUUUUGCAUGUACUUUAUGAAUAAGGAUCGGCUAACUCCGUGCCCGCAGCCGCGGUAAUACGGAGGAUCCGAGCGUUAUCCGGAUUUUUUGGGUUUAAAGGGGGCGUAGAUGGGUUGUUAAGUCAGUUGUGAAAGUUUGCGGCUCAACCGUAAAAGUGCAAUUGAUACUGGCAGUCUUGAGUACAGUUGAGGUAGGCGGAAUGCGUGGUGUAGCGGUGAAAUGCUUAGAUAUCACGAAGAACCCCGAUUGCGAAGGCAGCUUACUAAACUGUGACUGACAUUGAUGCUCGAAAGUGUGGGUAUCAAACAGGAUUAGAUACCCCAGUAGUC